rnacentral:rRNA from 1 species
GACGAACGCUGGCGGCGUGCUUAACACAUGCAAGUCGAACGGAAAGGCCCUGCUUUUGUGGGGUGCUCGAGUGGCGAACGGGUGAGUAACACGUGAGUAACCUGCCCUUGACUUUGGGAUAACUUCAGGAAACUGGGGCUAAUACCGUAUAGGAGCUCCUGCUGCAUGGUGGGGGUUGGAACUUUUCGGCGUUUGGGGAUGGACUCGCGGCUUAUCAGCUAGUUGGUGGGGUAGUGGCUUACCAAGGCUGGGACGGGUAUCCGGCCUGAGAGGGUGACCGGCCACAUUGGGACUGCGAUACGGCCCAGAGUCCUACGGGAGGCAGAAGUGGGGAAUAUUGCACAAUGGGCGGAAGCGUGAUGCAGCAACGCCGCGUGCGGGAUGACGGCCUUCGGGUUGUAAACAGCAUUCGCCUGUGACGAAGCGUGAGUGACGGUAAUGGGUAAAGAAGCACCGGCUAACUACGUG